GGGAGUAAAGCUUUUAGUAGUGAAGCACUGGGUUUUUGCCCCAGGGAAGCCUGUUUGGAUACUCCUU
rnacentral:tRNA from 1 species